rnacentral:rRNA from 1 species
UUGUAAUUUGGAGAAGGUGCUUCGGGUGCGACGGCGUUCCAAGUCCCCUGGAACAGGGCGUCACAGAGGGUGAGAGUCCCGUCCGGAUCGUCUGUCAACCCCGUGUGAAGCCCUUUCGACGAGUCGAGUUGUUUGGGAAUGCAGCUCAAAAUGGGUGGUAAAUUUCAUCUAAAGCUAAAUAUCUGCCGGAGACCGAUAGCGCACAAGUAGAGUGAUCGAAAGAUGAAAAGCACUUUGAAAAGAGAGUUAAACAGUACGUGAAAUUGUUGAAAGGGAAGGGCUUGCAGCCAGACUCGCACGCGGGGGCUCCGCCGCUCUUCGGGGCGGUUCACUCCCCCGCGAUCGGGCCAGCAUCGGUUUCGGCGGCCGGACAAAGGCCCUGGGAACGUAGCUCUCCUCGGAGAGUGUUACAGCCCGGGGUGCAAUGCGGCCAGCCGGGACCGAGGACCGCGCUUCGGCUUGGAUGCUGGCGUAAUGGCUGCCAGCCGCCCGUCUUG